AGGACGAACGCUGGCGGCGUGCCUAACACAUGCAAGUGGAGCGACGAACCAGGCUUCGGCCUGGGGCAAAGCCGCGAACGGGUGAGUAACACGUGACUAACCUACCUUCGAGUGGGGGGAUAACCUCGGGAAACCGAGGCUAAUACCGCAUAACAUCGCAAGAUCAAAGCAGCAAUGCGCUGGAAGAGGGGGUCGCGGCUGAUUAGCUAGUUGGCGGGGUAACGGCCCACCAAGGCGAAGAUCGGUAGCCGGCCUGAGAGGGCGCACGGCCACACUGGAACUGAAACACGGUCCAGACUCCUACGGGAGGCAGCAGUGGGGAAUUUUGCGCAAUGGGGGAAACCCUGACGCAGCAACGCCGCGUGGAGGAUGAAGCCCUUGGGGCGUAAACUCCUUUCGACCAAGACGAUAAUGACGGUACUGGUGGAAGAAGCACCGGCUAACUCUGUGCCAGCAGCCGC
rnacentral:rRNA from 1 species